AUGCUUAGGAAUCUGCCUAUUAGUGGGGGACAACAUUCCGAAAGGAAUGCUGAUACCGCAUACGCCCUACGGGGGAAAGCAGGGGAUCUUCAGACCUUGCGCUAAUAGAUGAGCCUAAGUCAGAUUAGCUACGUUGGUGGGGUAAAGGCCUACCAAGGCGACGAUCUGUAGCGGGUCUGAGAGGAUGAUCCGCCACACUGGGACUGAGACACGGCCCAUACUCCUACGGGAGGCAGCAGUGGGGAAUAUUGGACAAUGGGCGAAAGCCUGAUCCUGCCCUGCCGCGUGUGUGAAGAACGCCUUUUGGUUGUAAAGCACUUUAAUCGAGGAGGAGGCUACUUGGAUUAAUACUCUAGGAUAGUGGACGUUACUCGCAGAAUAAGCAGCGGCUAACUCUGUGCCAGCAGCCGAGGUAAUACAUAGGGUGCGAGCGUUAAUCGGAUUUACUGGGCGUAAAGCGUGCGUAGGCGGCUUCUUAAGUCGGAUGUGAAAUCCCUGAGCUUAACUUAGGAAUUGCAUUCGAUACUGGGAAGCUAGAGUAUGGGAGAGGAUGGUAGAAUUCCANGUGUAGCGGUGAAAUGCGNAGAGAUCUGGAGGAAUACCGAUGGCGAAGGCAGCCAUCUGGCCUAAUACUGACGCUGANGUACNAAAGCAUGGGGAGCAAACAGGAUUAGAUACCCUGGUAGUCCAUGCCGUAAACGAUGUCUACUAGCCGUUGGGGCCUUUGAGGCUUUAGUGGCGCAGCUAACGCGAUAAGUAGACCGCCUGGGGAGUACGGUCGCAAGACUAAAACUCAAAUGAAUUGACGGGGGCCCGCACAAGCGGUGGAGCAUGUGGUUUAAUUCGAUGCAACGCGAAGAACCUUACCUGGUCUUGACAUAGUAAGAACUUUCCAGAGAUGGAUUGGUGCCUUCGGGAACUUACAUACAGGUGCUGCAUGGCUGUCGUCAGCUCGUGUCGUGAGAUGUUGGGUUAAGUCCCGCAACGAGCGCAACCCUUUUCCUUAUUUGCCAGCACUUCGGGUGGGAACUUUAAGGAUACUGCCAGUGACAAACUGGAGGAAGGCGGGGACGACGUCAAGUCAUCAUGGCCCUUACGACCAGGGCUACACACGUGCUACAAUGGUCGGUACAAAGGGUUGCUACCUAGCGAUAGGAUGCUAAUCUCAAAAAGCCGAUCGUAGUCCGGAUUGGAGUCUGCAACUCG
rnacentral:rRNA from 1 species